CUGUCAGAUCCUGCGUCAGCGGAGUUGUAUUGUAAUGAAAAUGGAGAGUGGAGUGGCCAACCUCCAAAAUGCAUAGAGAUUAAAUGUGCAGUACCUCCGAUAGAAAAUGGUUAUGUGCCUGAUCACAAUAUCCGAGAGUACAAAGAACAUGAUGUCCUGGACUUUAGGUGUAAUGUUGGAUAUAAACCCACUGAAGACAGACCCUCAAAAUGCACAAAAGUAGGAAUAAGAGCCGAGUGGACCCCCACACCUGCGUGUGAACCAAUAAAAUGUAGACUGAUUCUGCCGCCAAUCGAGGGAACCAGGUA